GGGAGUGCGCCAAAGCUGGAGAGUUGGACCGGACUGUAAAUCCGGGGCCGAAAGGUUUAGCAGGUUCGAAUCCUGCCACUCCCACCA
rnacentral:tRNA from 1 species